rnacentral:siRNA from 1 species
UUCGUUUGCCUGUCGCUGGCGAC